GUGGGGAAUAUUGGACAAUGGGCGAAAGCCUGAUCCAGCCAUGCCGCGUGUGUGAAGAAGGUCUUCGGAUUGUAAAGCACUUUAAGUUGGGAGGAAGGGCAGUAACCUAAUACGUUAUUGUUUUGACGUUACCGACAGAAUAAGCACCGGCUAACUUCGUGCCAGCAGCCGCGGUAAUACGAAGGGUGCAAGCGUUAAUCGGAAUUACUGGGCGUAAAGCGCGCGUAGGUGGUUCAGUAAGUUGGAAGUGAAAUCCCCGGGCUCAACCUGGGAACUGCUUUCAAAACUGCUGAGCUAGAGUACGGUAGAGGGUGGUGGAAUUUCCUGUGUAGCGGUGAAAUGCGUAGAUAUAGGAAGGAACACCAGUGGCGAAGGCGACCACCUGGACUGAUACUGACACUGAGGUGCGAAAGCGUGGGGAGCAAACAGGAUUAGAAACCCCUGUAGUCC
rnacentral:rRNA from 1 species